AAAUUUAAAAAUCAUUUUUAGAAACUAGAAAUUAAAAGAAAAAUAAUGCAAUUGGUCCCAUAUUUUUUGGACCAAUAAUAAAAGAGAUAUGGAUUUUAGAAAUAAAAUGGAAUUAAAAGAAAUAAAAGAAAACAAAAUCAGAAAUAAGAAAAUAUGAAAGAGGGGAGGCGUUGGAUGAUGGCUCAUUAAUUGAGCUGGCACAUCACACGGCCUCUGAGCGU
rnacentral:lncRNA from 1 species